rnacentral:rRNA from 1 species
AGUGAACGCUGGCGGUAGGCCUAACACAUGCAAGUCGAACGGCAGCACAGUAAGAGCUUGCUCUUACGGGUGGCGAGUGGCGGACGGGUGAGGAAUACAUCGGAAUCUACUUUUUCGUGGGGGAUAACGUAGGGAAACUUACGCUAAUACCGCAUACGACCUACGGGUGAAAGCAGGGGAUCUUCGGACCUUGCGCGAUUGAAUGAGCCGAUGUCGGAUUAGCUAGUUGGCGGGGUAAAGGCCCACCAAGGCGACGAUCCGUAGCUGGUCUGAGAGGAUGAUCAGCCACACUGGAACUGAGACACGGUCCAGACUCCUACGGGAGGCAGCAGUGGGGAAUAUUGGACAAUGGGCGCAAGCCUGAUCCAGCCAUACCGCGUGAGUGAAGAAGGCCUUCGGGUUGUAAAGCCCUUUUGUUGGGAAAGAAAAGCAGCGGGUUAAUACCCCGCUGUUCUGACGGUACCCAAAGAAUAAGCACCGGCUAACUUCGUG